GGCUGGUUAGCUCAAGUUGGUAGAGCACCAGACCAGCAAUCUGGAGGUUGCAGGUUCAAACCCCGCUCCGGUCA
rnacentral:tRNA from 1 species